AUUGAACGCUGGCGGCAGGCCUAACACAUGCAAGUCGAGCGGCAGCGGGAAGUAGCUUGCUACUUUGCCGGCGAGCGGCGGACGGGUGAGUAAUGUCUGGGAAACUGCCUGAUGGAGGGGGAUAACUACUGGAAACGGUAGCUAAUACCGCAUGACCUCGAAAGAGCAAAGUGGGGGAUCUUCGGACCUCACGCCAUCGGAUGUGCCCAGAUGGGAUUAGCUAGUAGGUGAGGUAAUGGCUCACCUAGGUGACGAUCCCUAGCUGGUCUGAGAGGAUGACCAGCCACACUGGAACUGAGACACGGUCCAGACUCCUACGGGAGGCAGCAGUGGGGAAUAUUGCACAAUGGGCGCAAGCCUGAUGCAGCCAUGCCGCGUGUGUGAAGAAGGCCUUAGGGUUGUAAAGCACUUUCAGCGAGGAGGAAGGCAUCACACUUAAUACGUGUGGUGAUUGACGUUACUCGCAGAAGAAGCACCGGCUAACUCCGUGCCAGCAGCCGCGGUAAUACGGAGGGUGCAAGCGUUAAUCGGAAUUACUGGGCGUAAAGCGCACGCAGGCGGUUUGUUAAGUCAGAUGUGAAAUCCCCGCGCUUAACGUGGGAACUGCAUUUGAAACUGG
rnacentral:rRNA from 1 species